rnacentral:lncRNA from 1 species
UGGGCCUCGUGUAUUACACCUGUGGCUGCCGCCGAGGCGCGGUUCAAUUUGAAGUCUGAGCCCCUACAGGCCCGUGAAUCCUGGAUUACAACUGCAGUUUGUGCAAGAAGCAGCAGCACCUGCACUUCCACUUAGCAACCUCCGGCUUCACGCUCCUCCAGGGCGCAGAGAGCAUCAAAGCAUUAUCACCGACCCAACACACACCGGCGCUGCGUAGUUUCUGCAGCAGGUGUGGGGUGAAGAGUUGCCACACAGCUGUCUGACACCGGGUGUACGGCGUCACCCCUCACUUCCUGGACAAGGCAACAUUUUCCUAAAGGUAAAAGGAUUCUAUAUCAUUUGGUCUUAUACUGGCAAAAUCGAGGACAU